GAAAAGAAUAACAGAUCCUGAGAGAGGGGGAGAAGAGGAAGAGAUUGAGGAAAGGUAAGUUCGGCAUGACAGUGCCGCUUUAAUAAGAGUUAACACAUCUAAGCCUGACUUACUCUUUCACAACUUCAGCACACAUUUCACCUUUCCCCCCCUGGCAACAUCUGACAGGACACAUUUUCAAAAUAACCUUUCCUUUUACAAUCCAAAAAAACAGUCCAGACAUCCAGAAAUGAAUCUGUAGAAAUAUUCUUCUUUUGAUUAUACUUUAAGAUGAUGGAUAAACAGCAAAAUGGCUGACGGCAUGUCAGUAGCAGGUUACAUAUGUUCACAUGCCCAAGAUGUUAUUUACCUUGCUAGGAUAUACCCACAUAUCACUGGCUGGUUGUUUGGUUCAGAUGUUCUCAGUUUAUGUGACAGUCACACUUAAGUCUGUUACUCUUCUUUUAAUGGCUUUAGACAGAUACAUAGCAAUCUGCAAGCCACUGCUCUACCAUAAAAUUGCAAACAAGUAUUUUUUCAUUCAGCUUCUGGUGUUAGGCCUACUUCGAAACAGUUUUAUUGCGGCUGUUGUAGUUACUCUGGCCUCCAAAGUCAAGUAUUGUAAGUCUAACAUUAUCUUGAACUUUGUUUGUGAAUAUAUUGUCCUUCUCAGUCUCGGCUGUGGUGAUGUGACCAAGCUUCAAAUUGUUGGACUAACAUUGAGGACUGUCGUCACCGUAUCUGAUCUCGGCAUCCUCCUGGUAUCUUACAUCAAGGUCCUGCACACAGCCAUGAAGAUUGCUGCAGGAAACGCUCGCCAGAAAGCAUUGCACACUUGUUUCACACACCUUCUAGUCGCAGUAUUAAUCUAUACAUUUGGUUUAUCUACUUCUAUUAUGUAUAAGGUGGAAAAGUUUAUAUCA